AUUGAACGCUGGCGGCAGGCCUAACACAUGCAAGUCGAACGGUAACAGAAAGCAGCUUGCUGCUUUGCUGACGAGUGGCGGACGGGUGAGUAAUGUCUGGGAAACUGCCUGAUGGAGGGGGAUAACUACUGGAAACGGUAGCUAAUACCGCAUAACGUCGCAAGACCAAAGAGGGGGACCUUCGGGCCUCUUGCCAUCGGAUGUGCCCAGAUGGGAUUAGCUAGUAGGUGGGGUAACGGCUCACCUAGGCGACGAUCCCUAUCUGGUCUGAGAGGAUGACCAGCCACACUGGAACUGAGACACGGUCCAGACUCCUACGGGAGGCAGCAGUGGGGAAUAUUGCACAAUGGGCGCAAGCCUGAUGCAGCCAUGCCGCGUGUAUGAAGAAGGCCUUCGGGUUGUAAAGUACUUUCAGCGGGGAGGAAGGGAGUAAAGUUAAUACCUUUGCUCAUUGACGUUACCCGCAGAAGAAGCACCGGCUAACUCCGUG
rnacentral:rRNA from 1 species